rnacentral:lncRNA from 10 species
ACGCCGGUAAAGCCACAGAGCGACGAUGAGGCGAGACGUCUGCGUUCUUCUCAGGCCUGAGACCCAACCGGCCCGGGCACCAGCUCCUGCUGGACCCCAGAGCGCCUGGAAAGCUCCGGAACCUCUCACCUGCCGCCUCCUCGGGUCCAAGUGCCACCGCGGCCGCGCCCCCGGCAGCCCAGGGCGCGCUUCCACCACGGUACCGGUGGAUUCGCCGUGCGCAGCCGGAAGAUGGCGCAGACGCACAAAGCACACCGAUGCUGCGCCAUGAUAGGGCCGGCGCCGCAGUGUCUUCCGGGAAACAUAGUCUUUAGGCGUAAAGGCAGCAGCCCGGCCUUGAAGCCGGAUCUCGCGAUGUUUCAGGGUGAGCCGGACGCAGGCGUGCCUGCGCAGUGCGCGGAGGAGUGCUGUUCGUGUGUUCGAGUCCCUGGGUUGCUUCCUGGGGUCUGUGGUGCUGGGUGUGCUAUCUGCGUGUGAUUCUCUAGCGAGAGAUUGUGGGCGAGUGACCGAGUGGGCAAGGGGCCGUCACUGUGUGUGCGUGAUUUUGACAGUGUGUGGUGGUAGCUUCUGACUCCGCGUGGGUCGUUGAAUGUAUGACUGGGACCGUUUAGCGGUGGAUACACAACUGUGUGCGGCUGUGGAAGAUUGCCUCAUCCGUUACGUUCCCAUUUCCGUGGAACAACAGUUUUACCAGAAGGUUUCGAAGGAACCUUAAAGUUUGGAAGCGUAAGAGUUUAUCUGGCGGCUUUGGUGUCAUCAAAUGUGAGAAGCCCUGGACUUUACACAUCCCGAGCCAGUGUGAUCCAGUAUGAUUGGGAGUCCGAGUGCCAGAUGCCGGUCAGGACCUGUUAUGCUGGGUCUCAGAAUGCGGAAACUCUCCCUGUCCGAGGUGGAACAGUUUGUCCUUGAAGAUGGGAGCCUCACUGUAUUGCCCAGGCUGGUCUUGAACUCCGGAGCUCAAGUGAUCGUCUUGCUUCAGCCUUGCAAAAUGAUGGUGAAGCUGCAUCAUUGUCUGGGGUAAAUACCUGAGAUGGAGUCCCUGUCUGACCGGGCCAUGUUGUAUGUUCCUUGCUGUACACGUGGUUGACAAAGAAAAGGGAAGAUGGAGCUGCGAUGUUGGACAUGCCUGGCCCCCAGGACAUACAGCCCUGCCGAGCAAAUAAUGAACGUAACUCACAAACUUCCUGCUUAUCAUCAAACGCACGCAUCCACUUAUCAUCAAACACCUCGGGUGACAGAAGAAUGCAGGUCAGCUCCCUGCUGCCUUGGCAUUAUCAAUCAGCCCAGGAACCAUCCUAUAAAAUCUCCAGCAAGCCUUUGUUUCCUUGCAGUCAGCUCCUCUUCCACUGAUUCUGCCUGUUGCUCCCUGAUAACAUACUUUGAUACUGUCUUUAAUAAAUCUGCCUUUCUUCACCCACAGCUGUCUUGGUAAGUUCUUUUACCUCUGUGCCACCAGCCCAAACAGUUGCUGCUCACCUGAAACAAAGAAUAAAUGUGGUUUUUAAGCAAAUCAAAGUUUACUUAGUGACUCUUACCAAGCUUUGUAGAAGGUUGUGCCAAAAGGAGAAGCUUAAGAGAUAAC